CGUAGGGUGCGAGCGUUAAUCGGAAUUACUGGGCGUAAAGUGUGCGCAGGCGGCCGAGCAAGUCGAGUGUGAAAGCCCCGAGCUUAACUUGGGAACUGCGCUCGAAACUACUUGGCUGGAGUGUGGCAGAGGAAGGUGGAAUUCCACGUGUAGCGGUGAAAUGCGUAGAGAUGUGGAGGAACACCGAUGGCGAAGGCAGCCUUCUGGGCCAACACUGACGCUCAUGCACGAAAGCGUGGGGAGCAAACAGGAUUAGAUACCCUGGUAGUCCACGCCCUAAACGAUGAUGACCAGUUGUUGGAGGAGUUAAAUCCUUUAGUAACGCAGCUAACGCGUGAAGUCAUCCGCCUGGGGAGUACGGUCGCAAGAUUAA
rnacentral:rRNA from 1 species